GACCCUCCUGCCUCAGCCUCCCAAGUGCUGGGAUCACAGGUGUCAAGAUGGGAGGCGUCGACGGCUUCCUCUCUCGAUUCCCUCCUGGGUAUCAAAAUGAGGGGUCAGCAGGCCUCUUCGAGGAUGUGCCAGCCCUUUCCCUCCGGUUGGGCCUGUCGCCAGCCAGGCUGGGCUGCUCCAGCCUCUCUCUCCUCCCCCGCCUCCUUCCUACCCGCAGCUCCUGGGCUCGGGGAGCGGCCAGCUGUGAGUGUUUCUUUGGCAGUGUCUUAGCUGGUUGUUGUGAGUAACAGUGCAGGAAGCAAUCAGCAAGUAUACUGCCCUAGAACUGCUGCACAAUGUGGGCCGGGAGAGAGGAAGCCGGGGCGCCCGGACCAACACAGACGCCGGGAUGCUGGAAGCUCUGCUCCGCCUUGCUGCUGGGAUCUCACUCUAUAACCCUGGCUGGCCUUGAGCUU